UACAGAGGGUGCAAACGUUGCUCGGAAUUAUUGGGCGUAAAGCGCGUGUAGGCGGCCCUGCAAGUCGGAUGUGAAAUCCCACGGCUCAACCGUGGAAGUGCAUUCGAAACUGCAGGGCUAGAGUCCUGGAGAGGAAGGUGGAAUGCUUGGUGUAGAGGUGAAAUUCGUAGAUAUUGGGAAGAACACCAGUGGCGAAGGCGGCUCACUGGCCCGAUACUGACGCUGAGGCACGAAAGCGUGGGGAGCAAACAGG
rnacentral:rRNA from 1 species